rnacentral:rRNA from 1 species
ACGGGGGGGGCAAGCGUUGUUCGGAAUUACUGGGCGUAAAGGGCUCGUAGGUGGCCAACUAAGUCAGACGUGAGAUCCCUCGGCUUAACCGGGGAACUGCGUCUGAUACUGGAUGGCUUGAGUUUGGGAGAGGGACGCGGAAUUCCAGGUGUAGCGGUGAAAUGCGUAGAUAUCGGAAGGAACAUCAGUGGCGAAAGCGACUUCCUGGACCAAUACUGACGCCCAUGUGCGAAAGCGUGGGGAGCAAACAGGA